UGUAAACCGCUUCUGAUGCUAACACCAAUGAUCUGAUCUUAAAUCCAAAAGUAUAAAAUUACUACAGAACAAAACAAAACAAAACAAAAACAAAAAUGAGCAGAAAGAAUGAAGGCACGAAGGAAGGCAGAAAGGAAGGAAAGAAGGAAGGAAGGAAGGAAGGAAGGAAGGAAGGAAGGAAGGAAAGAAGGAAGGAAAGAAGGAAGGAAGGAAAAGAAAAUUUAAAUGAAGGCUUCCACACAUGAGAAGGAGAAUCUUAUACACUGCUAGUAGGAAACUGCAUGAGCAUUUUUAAGGAUAGAAAAUCAGAACUACCUUCUGACCCAUAAGUUCAGCCAGUCUUUAUAUUCCAGUAAAAGAAAAAGCUUUACGAGUAAGCUAUUUGAUUCUCCAAGUACACUGCAGGGGUAGUCAUAGCAGCCAAAACAUGGGUCAAACAAAAUGGCCUUCUGAAGACUAAUAUAUUGUGCUUUUAUAUUAUAUUAUACAAUGAAAUCAUAAUCAUACACAAUGACAACGAAAACUUGUCAUUAUCGGGGAAAUGUAUGAAAUGGAGAAAACAAUUUUGAGUGAAACAGGGAAAAUGUUAUGGCACAGUUAGUUUUUAAAACGAUGGGAUGAAAUAAUGCUCAGAAAACGCUGGGACGGGAAAGUACAGAAGAUCAAUAAACAAAUUAUGAGGCACUAAAAAGAAUGCUAUGAGGACCAGUUGGGUGAAGGUUGUCAGGAUGAGACAAGUAAAAGAUGGGCAAGAUUGAUAUGCACUUCUUGGGAGUAUAUAUACACUGCAGCGAAGCCUUAUUAAUUUGAAAAUUAAUUUUCAUGAUUUUAUUUUUCAAAAAGGAAAAAUAGAGCAACAAAUUUACGAAUAUUGGAGCACAAUAAGAGAAUAAACGAAUGAGCAGACAUUUACAGAGUGGUGUGCACAAAACCAUCUACUAUGUGCAGAGGUAUCAGCAUGGGGCAUCAGACCCUCUGGAACUUGAUUAUAGGUGAUUUUUGAGCUGCCAUGUGAAUGUUGGGACAGAACCCAGGUCUUCUUCCUGUAUGAUGGGACCCUGGCAUGGCUGCUCUCUGAGAGCCCUUACCAGCAGCUGACUGAGACAGAUGCAGAUACUACUCCCAACCAUUGGACUGAAGUCGGGGACCCCUAAGGUUGAAUAAGGAAAAGGAUCAACGAAGCUGAAAGGGAGAGCAACGCCACAGGAAGACCAGCUGUCUCAACUAACCCAGAUCCCAGGGAGCUCCCAGAGACUGAGUCACCAGCCAGGAGCAAACAUUGGCUAGUCUGAGGCCUCUGGCACAUAGGUGGCAGAAGUUGGCCUGUUCUGUCCUCAGUGGGAGAAGAUGUGCUUAAUCCUGGGGAGACUUAAGGCUCCAGGGAACUGGAGCUUGGUGGGGGAGGAGCACCUUCUUGGAGGCAAGGUGGAGGAGGAACUGAAUGAGGAACUGUGGGAAGGGCGACCGAGAGGGGCCAAC